AGAAUCAACGCUGGCGGCGUGCCUAACACAUGCAAGUCGCACGAGAAAGGGGAGCAAUCCCUGAGUAAAGUGGCGCACGGGUGAGUAACACGUGAAUAAUCUACCUCCGAGUGGGGAAUAACUGAGAGAAAUCUUAGCUAAUACCGCAUAACACUUACGAGUCAAAGCAGCAAUGCGCUUGGAGAGGAGUUCGCGGCAGAUUAGUUAGUUGGCGGGGUAAUGGCCCACCAAGACGAUGAUCUGUAUCCGGCCUGAGAGGGCGCACGGACACACUGGAACUGAAACACGGUCCAGACUCCUACGGGAGGCAGCAGUGGGGAAUUUUGCGCAAUGGGGGAAACCCUGACGCAGCAACGCCGCGUGGAGGAUGAAGCCCCUUGGGGUGUAAACUCCUUUCGAUCGGGAAGAUAAUGACGGUACCGAUAUAAGAAGCCCGGCUAACUUCGUGCCAGCAGCCGC
rnacentral:rRNA from 1 species